UAGUCUGCCUAAGUCAAAUCCCCAUAUAUUUAUGUUACAUCCUUACCUAAAUGUUCAUAAAUUUUAAUUUUUAGAAGCUCAACUGUAUCAAUACAACCGAUGAUUUCUCUAUCAAUGAGAUCAAAAUGAGACUAUAUU
rfam:Populus trichocarpa isolate Nisqually-1 chromosome 6, whole genome shotgun sequence.